rnacentral:rRNA from 1 species
AGAGUUUGAUCCUGGCUCAGAAUGAACGCUUUCAAUAUGCUUUACACAUGCAAGUUUUAUUUUAUUAUAAAGCGAACGGGUGAGUAAUAUGCAAGAAUCUACCCUUUAAAGGAAUGAAGGAUGAGCUUGUACCUAAUUAGUUAGUUGGUUGGAUAAAAGCUUACCAAGACUUCGAUUAGUAGUUGAUCUGUGAGGAUGUUCAACCACACUAGGAUUGAGAUAAGGCCUAGACUUUUUUUAUUGUCAGCAGUGGGGAAUAUUUCGCAAUGAGCCUUUUGGCUUGACGAAGCAAUAUUGAGUUAAUUUGAAUAUAUUUUAAAAAUAUAUUCAAGUUUAUUUCCUAAAAGAUUAGUCAAGAAGUUUAUUUUAGGAAAAGUAUCGGCUAAUAUUUGUGCCAGCAGCCGCGGUAAUACAAAGGAUGCUAGCGUUAUUCGGUUUAAUUGGGCGUAAAAGGUUAAUAGAUGUUUUAUUAAGUCAUAAGUUAAAUUCCUAUAAAAUAAAUUUAUAGUGAGUGCUUAUGAAACUAAUGAAAUAGAGUAUUCUGAGAAAAAGGUAUAUAUAAUUUUUUUUGUAAUAGUAAAAUGUAAAAAUAAAAAGAGGAAUAUCGAAAGGUGAAGACAGUAUACUAAAAGAAUACUGACAUUGACUUAACGAAAACUAUGGUAUCAAAUGGGAUUAGAGACCCCAGUAGUCGUAGUCGUAAAAUAUGAAUACUAGAAUAAAGAUAUUUAUUCAGGUUAACACUAAAGUAUUCUGCCUGGGAAGUACGUUCGAAAGAAUGGAACUCAAAGGAAUUGGCGUGGAUCCUAAUUAAUGAUGGAGUAUGUGGUUUAAUUUGAUAAUGCGCACUAAAUCUUACCAAUUUUUACGUUAAGUAAAGGUGGUGCAUGGCUGUUUGUAAGUUCGUGUUGUGAAAUGUUAAGUUCAGUCUUAGAACGAACGAAACCCUUUCGUAACUUUUUUUCUUAAUUUUUUAGUUAUUUAUGUCCAUAAAUACAACAAUUAAUAGGAAAAUGGAGGAAGAAGAGGACCAUAACAAGUCAACAUGCCCCUUAUAAAUUGGGCUACUCGCGUACUACAAUGGAUUAUAUAAUAUGAAAAAUUUUUUUAUAAAAAUAAAAUAUUCCUUAGUUCGGAUUGAUGGUUGAAACUUACUUUCAUGAAGUUGGAAUCAUUAGUAAUCGCAUAGUAGAGUUGUGCGGUGAAUUAGAUUAGGUUUUUUUUUAAGAACCUUUUCGUAUAAGGAUCUUGUACACACUGCCCGUCACGUUCCGGUUAAAAAGUUGCAAAAGUUCUUUAUUUCUAGGGAAUAAAAGUAAUAGUUUUAGCUGUAAUGAAGUCGUAACAAGGUAGCCGUACUGGAAGGUGUGGCU